AAAACGACUCUCGGCAACGGAUAUCUCGGCUCUCGCAUCGAUGAAGAACGUAGCGAAAUGCGAUACUUGGUGUGAAUUGCAGAAUCCCGUGAACCAUCGAGUCUUUGAACGCAAGUUGCGCCCCAAGCCUUUUGGCCGAGGGCACGUCUGCCUGGG
rnacentral:rRNA from 6 species